rnacentral:lncRNA from 1 species
GGAAAGAAUCUAUAUUAAUGGCUUUGAAGUGGUCACAAGGAUUGUCACGAAAAGGAGGCUGCUUUAUCUCAAUAUUGAAAUGUGUUUUUCAAGAACCAGAGAUUUUAUGGUGAUCCCAGCUGUCUCAGUCACUUGAGGUAGAGGAACUCCUUAAUGGUAACUAUAUCACUCAUUUUUUCGCUUAUGUAUUAGAAAUGAUUUUAAGCUACUGUUUUGUUUCUGUUCCUCCUCUCAGUACUUUUACUUCCAAUCCAUUUUCAUACUCCGUGUGUUCAUC